UGGGGAAUUUUGGACAAUGGGCGAAAGCCUGAUCCAGCAAUGCCGCGUGUGUGAAGAAGGCCUUCGGGUUGUAAAGCACUUUUGUCCGGAAAGAAAUCCUUGGCUCUAAUACAGUCGGGGGAUGACGGUACCGGAAGAAUAAGCACUGGCUAACUACGUGCCAGCAGCCGCGGUAAUACGUAGGGUGCAAGCGUUAAUCGGAAUUACUGGGCGUAAAGCGUGCGCAGGCGGUUUGCUAAGACCGAUGUGAAAUCCCCGGGCUCAACCUGGGAACUGCAUUGGUGACUGGCAGGCUAGAGUAUGGCAGAGGGGGGUAGAAUUCCACGUGUAGCAGUGAAAUGCGUAGAGAUGUGGAGGAAUACCGAUGGCGAAGGCAGCCCCCUGGGCCAAUACUGACGCUCAUGCACGAAAGCGUGGGGAGCAAACAGGAUUAGAUACCCUGGUAGUCCACGCCCUAAACGAUGUCAACUAGUUGUUGGGGAUUCAUUUCCUUAGUAACGUAGCUAACGCGUGAAGUUGACCGCCUGGGGAGUACGGUCGCAAGAUUAAAACUUAAANGAAUUGACGGGGGUCAUAGCUGUUUCCUG
rnacentral:rRNA from 1 species